rnacentral:rRNA from 1 species
CGGACCGGCGCACGGGUGAGUAACACGUAUGGAACCUGCCCGCAGCAGGGGGAUAAGCGGAAGAAAUUCCGUCUAAUACCGCGUAACACCGCGGAGGGGCAUCCCUCGGCGGUUAAAGAUUCAUCGGCUGCGGAUGGCCAUGCGGCGCAUUAGCUAGUCGGCGGGGUAACGGCCCACCGAGGCGACGAUGCGUAGGGGUUCUGAGAGGAAGGUCCCCCACACUGGUACUGAGACACGGACCAGACUCCUACGGGAGGCAGCAG